CCAAAGAAAAAAGAAAUGUGGAUUUAAAAAUUGAUAUCACGAGGAUAAUUAUAUCAUCCUUUGGUUUCUUCUUCUUUUUCUUCUUCCUUGUUUUCUUCUUUUUCUUCUUCUUCU
rnacentral:ribozyme from 14 species